GCAAGUCGAGGGGUAACAGGAGUAGCUUGCUACUUGCUGACGACCGGCGCACGGGUGCGUAACGCGUAUGAAACCUACCUAAUACAGGGAGAUAGCCCAGAGAAAUUUGGAUUAAUACCCCAUAGUACUGUUGAAUCGCAUGGUUCAAUAGUUAAAGAUUUAUCGGUAUUAGAUGGUCAUGCGUUCUAUUAGUUAGUUGGUAAGGUAACGGCUGACCAAGACCUCGAUAGAGAGGGGCCCUGAGAGGGGGAGC
rnacentral:rRNA from 1 species